rnacentral:lncRNA from 1 species
CCAACCUAUACAAGGUGCUGCUUGCUUUCUCUCAGCCACUAGUGGCUUAUGUAGUGGUCGGCCUUCCUACGUGCUCCUCCUUGCCCCCCUACUUAAGAACCCAAAGGUCACCUUUGGAUGUUGUUGUGAUGCUUUGGUUAUGAAGGUUACCGCAGUCUAGGGGAUGGAUUCAGUCAGCGAAAGUUCCUCCAACUCAAUCAAUAUCAACAAGAUGUCGUGA